rnacentral:rRNA from 1 species
UACAGAGGGUGCGAACGUUGCUCGGAAUUACUGGGCGUAAAGCGCAUGUAGGCGGAUCCAUAAGUCGGGCGUGAAAUCCCCAGGCUCAACCUGGGAACUGCGCUCGAAACUGUAGGUCUUGAGUGUCGGAGAGGAUGGCGGAAUUCCUGGUGUAGAGGUGAAAUUCGUAGAUAUCAGGAGGAGCACCGGUGGCGAAGGCGGUUCUCUGGGCCUGUACUGACGCUGAGGAGCGAAAGCGUGGGGAGCGAACAGG